GAGUCAGUCUUCUGCUUGGCUUCUCAUUAUUGUCACAAGUCAAGGAUAUGGCAAGGCCUUCAUCUGCCACAAUUAGCUCCUCCUUGCUUGCGAUGCGAGCAGACUCGAAAAUAUAGACAGACUUCCUCUUUAAGUCUUCAGAUGCAACAGCACGCUUGGGCAUUGUGGAAGACUGAGCUUGAUCUUCUUCGCCCUCAGGCACAUUUCGCUUCGUCCCUCUAGGGCCGGUAGGUGCUUCCUUUUAGGGAGGUUUACUCCUCUUGCAACGAAACCACCAUUAACAUCGUGUCUGUAUGUUCAGCCUCCGACCUCAACGUUUGAUUGCAACCCCAGUUUUUAACCGUCUCCUUUCUCUCUCAGCUCACACAGACAAGCCCACCAAAUGGAACUCCACCCACAAAUCAGUUCAAGCGAACCCACUUCUCUCCCUGUUAGAAUCAUCCAAAUCCAUGUCCCAUUUGAAGCAAAUCCAAACCCAGAUGAUCAUUUCCGGCUUGAUCUCCGACGCGUUCGCUUCCAGUCGCCUCAUUGCCUUCUGUGCGCUUUCGGAGUGCCGAAAUCUCAACUAUGCAACCAAGAUUCUGCGCAAUGCGCACAACCCAAAUGCCUUCUGUUGGAAUGUGGUGAUCAGAGGGUUUUCGGAGAGCAAAAACCCGUGUGGAGCUGUUGUAAUGUUUGUGGAGAUGUUGAGAAAUGGUGGGUCGAGGCCGGAUAACUAUACUUACCCAUUAGUGCUAGGAGUCUGCUCUAAUUUGCUGUUGAAGUUGAUGGGGCGUGUGGUUCUUGGGCAUGUGUUUCAAGUGGGAUUGGAUUGUGAUAGGUUUGUUCGCAAUGCGGCGAUUCAUAUGUUUGUGUCAUGCAGAGAAUUAAGGGAUGCACGGAAGGUAUUCGACGAAAGUCCUGUGAGAGAUUUGGUGUCUUGGAAUUCUUUGAUUCAUGGGUAUGUGAGAAGUGGGUUGGCACGUGAGGCAUUAGGGGUUUAUGAGGAAAUGGUGGUGGAGAGAGUAGAGCCGGAUCAAGUAACAAUGAUUGGGGUGGUUUCUUCGUGUGCGCAACUUGAGGACUUGAGCCUUGGGAGGAAGUUUCAUCGGUUGAUUGAAAAGAAUGGGCUAGGCUUGACUCCUUCUCUUGAGAAUGCGAUUAUUGACAUGUACGCCAAGUGUGGGAAUCUUGAGGCAGCUCAAGCGUUGUUUGACAACAUGAAAGAGAAGACUAUUGUGUCAUGGACUACAAUAAUAGUGGGAUAUGCCAAACAUGGGUUUUUGGAGGUUGCUCACCGCCUUUUGUACAAGGUGCCAGAGAGGAAUGUUGUUCCAUGGAAUGCAAUUAUCGGUGGAUAUGUACAAGCUAGACGUAGCAAGGAGGCUUUGGAUCUGUUUAAUGAAAUGCAAGCUAGGAACAUAAAUCCUGAUGAAAUAACCUUGGUUUGCUGCUUAUCUGCAUGCUCACAACUUGGAGCAGUUGAUGUUGGAAUAUGGAUUCACCAUUAUAUUGAAAAACAUGGUCUUUCUCUCAACGUUGCUUUGGGGACUGCCCUUGUUGACAUGUACGCUAAGUGUGGGAACAUCAAAAAAGCUCUCAAUAUAUUCUCAGACAUGCCAGGAAAGAAUUGUUUCACUUGGACAUCUAUCAUUUGUGGUUUAUCCCUUAAUGGACACGCUCAAGAUGCUAUAUCUUACUUUGAACAGAUGAUAAAUACAGGAUUGAAUCCCGAUGAGAUCACGAUUCUUGGGGUAUUAUCAGCAUGUUGUCAUGGAGGUUUGGUUGAAGAAGGCCGAAAGUACUUUUGUUUGAUGAAUUCUAAAUUCAAUAUCUGCCCAACACUUAAACAUUACUCUUGCAUGGUGGACCUUCUUGGUAGGGCUGGCUUUUGCAAGAAGCAGCGGAGCUUAUUAAUAGCAUGCCAAUGAAGGCAGAUGCCGUAUUGUGGGGUGCAUUAUUCUUUGCUUGUUAUAUUCACAGAAGUGUUUUGAUGGGAGAAAGAGCAGCUUCCAAGCUUCUUGAGUUGGACCCCCAUGAUAGUGGAAUUUAUGUUUUGCUUGCAAAAAUGUAUAGGGAAUCGAAUAUGUGGGAGGAAGCCGAGCAGGCACAGAAGAUGAUGAAGGAGAGAGGACUGGAGAAGACUCCUGGUUGUAGCUCAAUUGAAGUGAAUGGCAGUGUAUACGAGUUUAUGGUCAGAUACAAUUCACACCCUCAAUCGAAACAGAUAUAUGAUUGCUUAUUUCAGUUAACAAGACAAAUGGAUCCUUUGGGAGGCAUAUCUGAAGUUCCUGCACUAUGGGAUGAUUCUCUCCUUGGUGACCAAUUUAGGCAACAAAUGUUUACUAGCAGGUGAAGGAGAAGAGUGAGAUGAGAAGGGCUCAACUCUCAAAGGUUUACAGAAUGCGGCGAAGAAUGCAUAUAAAUAGUUUGGCUUGUGCAUCUUAAACAAAAUACCACAGGGAGUACACUUAUGCAGGUAAAUAUGCUCUUUAUGAACUUCAAAUCUUCACAUCGGUGCCUCUAGCAUAUCAUGCUUAUCAAUGCCCAAUUAGUCCUGAUGAGUUUCAUGCCUACAGAUACAAAUAGAAAGUUGUGUAACCAGGUUCUUCUGCUCCAAUAUGUCUAGAUCAAUAAUACAUUCAUGUUAAGUGGCCACACUUCUAUGAGAUACUUUUUGACCAGAAGGCAUAUGAGGUUCGUCAUCACUAUUUUACUAUUCAACUUGAUGGAACAUCAGUGCUUUCUGAUCCGAUUUCAAAGUAUCUUAUACGGGUUACC